rnacentral:rRNA from 1 species
UGCGCAGAUAUCAGGAGGAACACCGAUGGCGAAGGCAGGUCUCUGGGCUGUAACUGACGCUGAGGAGCGAAAGCAUGGGGAGCGAACAGGAUUAGAUACCCUGGUAGUCCAUGCCGUAAACGUUGGGCACUAGGUGUGGGGACCAUUCCACGGUUUCCGCGCCGCAGCUAACGCAUUAAGUGCCCCGCCUGGGGAGUACGGCCGCAAGGCUAAAACUCAAAGGAAUUGACGGGGGCCCGCACAAGCGGCGGAGCAUGCGGAUUAAUUCGAUGCAACGCGAAGAACCUUACCAAGGCUUGACAUGUUCUCGAUCGCCGUAGAGAUACGGUUUCCCCUUUGGGGCGGGUUCACAGGUGGUGCAUGGUUGUCGUCAGCUCGUGUCGUGAGAUGUUGGGUUAAGUCCCGCAACGAGCGCAACCCUCGUUCCAUGUUGCCAGCACGUCGUGGUGGGGACUCAUGGGAGACUGCCGGGGUCAACUCGGAGGAAGGUGAGGACGACGUCAAAUCAUCAUGCCCCUUAUGUCUUGGGCUUCACGCAUGCUACAAUGGCCGGUACAAUGGGUUGCGAUACUGUGAGGUGGAGCUAAUCCCAAAAAGCCGGUCUCAGUUCGGAUUGGGGUCUGCAACUCGACCCCAUGAAGUCGGAGUCGCUAGUAAUCGCAGAUCAGCAACGCUGCGGUGAAUACGUUCCCGGGCCUUGUACACACCGCCCGUCAAGUCACGAAAGUUGGUAACACCCGAAGCCGGUGGCCUAACCCUGUGGGGGAGCCG